UGGGGAAUUUUGGACAAUGGGCGAAAGCCUGAUCCAGCAAUGCCGCGUGUGUGAAGAAGGCCUUCGGGUUGUAAAGCACUUUUGUCCGGAAAGAAAUCCUUGGCUCUAAUACAGUCGGGGGAUGACGGUACCGGAAGAAUAAGCACCGGCUAACUACGUGCCAGCAGCCGCGGUAAUACGUAGGGUGCAAGCGUUAAUCGGAAUUACUGGGCGUAAAGCGUGCGCAGGCGGUUUGCUAAGACCGAUGUGAAAUCCCCGGGCUCAACCUGGGAACUGCAUUGGUGACUGGCAGGCUAGAGUAUGGCAGAGGGGGGUAGAAUUCCACGUGUAGCAGUGAAAUGCGUAGAGAUGUGGAGGAAUACCGAUGGCGAAGGCAGCCCCUGGGCCAAUACUGACGCUCAUGCACGAAAGCGUGGGGAGCAAACAGGAUUAGAUACCCUGGUAGUCCACGCCCUAAACGAUGUCAACUAGUUGUUGGGGAUUCAUUUCCUAGUAACGUAGCUAACGCGUGAAGUUGACCGCCU
rnacentral:rRNA from 1 species